rnacentral:rRNA from 1 species
AUACGUAGGGAGCGAGCGUUGUCCGGAAUUACUGGGCGUAAAGGGUGCGUAGGCGGCUAGGCAAGUCAGAUGUGAAAUCCCCGGGCUUAACUCGGGAGUUGCAUUUGAAACUGCUUAGCUUGAGUGCAGGAGAGGAAAGCGGAAUUCCUAGUGUAGCGGUGAAAUGCGUAGAUAUUGGGAGGAACACCAGUGGCGAAGGCGACUUACGGGACUGUAACUGACGCUGAGGCGCGAAAGUGUGGGGAGCAAACAGGAUUAGAUACCCUGGUAGUCCACACUGUAAACGAUGAAUGCUAGGUGUAGGGGGUAUCGACCCCUUCUGUGCCGCAGUCAACACAAUAAGCAUUCCGCCUGGGGAGUACGGCCGCAAGGUUGAAACUCAAAUGAAUUGACGGGG